rnacentral:rRNA from 1 species
UGGCCUGAAAUCAGGUAGGACUACCCGCUGAACUUAAGCAUAUCAAUAAGCGGAGGAAAAGA